UUCCGUAGGUGAACCUGCGGACUAGCAUCGAUGAAGAACGCAGCAUCCGUAGGUGAACCUGCGGAAGGAU
rnacentral:rRNA from 1 species